GUCCACGCCCUAAACGAUGUCAACUGGGUGUUGGGGAGCGAUUCCUCAGUACCGUAGCUAACGCGUGAAGUUGACCGCCUGGGGAGUACGGCCGCAAGGUUAAAACUCAAAGGAAUUGACGGGGACCCGCACAAGCGGUGGAUGAUGUGGAUUAAUUCGAUGCAACGCGAACAACCUUACCUACCCUUGACAUGUCCGGAAGCCUGCUGAGAGGUGGGUGUGCCCGAAAGGGAAUCGGAACACAGGUGCUGCAUGGCUGUCGU
rnacentral:rRNA from 1 species